rnacentral:lncRNA from 10 species
CACAAACAAAGAUGGUUUAAUAGAUUUCAGCAUGUUUCCACUUGACAAUGUUAUACGAAAAUAGAAUCUUUAUUAAAAUAGCAAGGCAUAACAAUCACUGCUACUCAGGAAACACUGUGUUUAUUCUUUUUAAUCAUCAAAAUCAAUGACUUUGGGCAAGACCUGUGAAAUCUCAGAGCCUGUUUCUCCAUCUGGAGAACAGGCAGGUAGGGCAUUGCCAGCUCCCUGUGAGUGGGGGCCACUGGUGGGAGGAGAUGGCCCUGGUCGCCCAUGGGAUGAGAAACUUACUCCUGCUUCUGUCCCUGGAGAAGGUCAGGGAGAUGCCAGUGUGGCCUUAAGGCAAUUCUAACACUUGCUUAUCUCGUUUUGUAACAGAGAAGAGAGAGCUCUCAGCCUUGGCCACACCAGCAUGGAGCCCCCUUCCCCAGCGAAUUUAUUUUUCAUGGUCACUUUCUAUUUUUGGCAGUGAGUGAUACAUGUUAUCCACUAUUGGCAGCAAUUGGGGGGAAAAAAAGUUCAUUUUAAAAACAAAGUUUAGGCCGGGCAUGGUGGCUCAUGCCUGUAAUCCUAGCACUUUGGGAGGCCCAGGCAGGCAAAUCACGAGCUCAGGAGAUCAAGACCAUCCUGGCUAAUACGGUGAAAUCCCAUCUCUACUAAAAAUCCAAAAAUUAGCCGGGUGUGGUGGCGGGUGCCUGUAGUCCCAGCUACUCAGGAGGCUGAGGCAGGAGAAUGGUGUGAACACGGGAGGCAGAGCUUGCAGUGAGCCGAGAUCACGCCACUGCACUCUAGCCUGGGCAGCAGAGCGAGACUCCAUCUCAAAAAAAAAAAAAAAAAAAGAGUAUUUCAUUCUUGCCACUGAGCUUAAAAAGAAAGAAAGAAAGAAAGAGUAUUCCUAACAUAUGUCCAGUAAUUUUGAUUCUUAAGCAAGGGAUGAAGAAAUACAAUGGCAUCCAGGUAACUUCCUAACUAGCGCAUAGCAGGUAGCUAACCCACUCAUCUCUCCCUCUUUUCUUUAUAGCUUCUAUUUUUUUUAAAGAGAAAAAUAACGAUUAAAACAAGGGCAGGUUUAAAUAAUCGUCUCCUGAGCUGCACUUCAGUAUCUCAGGUAACAGCUGGAGCUGCCUGGUGGGAGCACAUCUUUUCCUUGAGUGUAAUUCACUAAUGACUGUGGUUCCAAGGAGGUGCGACCUUUAAAGGGAAUUGGCCCUUCUUUGAAGGCAGGUGAGAAUCUAGUCUCAGUGACAACCCAGCCUGAUUUGGAAGGGGGGAGUCAUAAGGGUUUUCGCCCAGCACACCAGGGUUGCAGCCUGCGCAAGACCUUCCAUAGCUAUUUCUGCCGGCUUGCUUCCUUCCCUUCCCAGCCACGAUGAGGCAGCUGAGGGUUGCCACGGAAACCGGCUCUGUCCUCCCACUGGAGGCUGCCAGCUCUGAUUUCCUGCAGAGUUAAGAAGGAGGCGGCAGUGGGGGUCACCCAGGCGUGAAGAUGGGUUUCCCUGGGGAUAUCCUGCCUCCUGCCAAUCACAGCGUCUCUCUGGGAAUCCUGGGGGUGCCUGGAGGCUGAGGCCCAGGGAAGCCCCCAAACCCCAGUGCUGCUCUGAGAAGAGACUAGCCUCUGGGACAUUCAGAGGUCUGGGGUUCUUUUAUCUCCCUCCAGCUAAAGCUAGAGGGACCUCAUUAUGUGUCUUACAAGAUGUACCCAAGUUUAGGUGCCUCUGGCUCUGUCAGCUCCUGAAGUCGAGAAGAAUUGUCCCAUCACCAGUCCCCUUGAGCCCAAAGAACAGGAGUUGCUCAUCCAGCAUUUGCUCCUGGGACAGUAAAUCUGCCUGCAGAGUUCUACAGCUUAUGAGCUAUGUGGCCCCAGGCAAGUCACCUCACCUCUCAGUUUUCUCAUCUAUGAAGUGGGCACAACCCUCCUUCUCUUCAUAGAGAUGCUGUGAGGAGUAGACAUACUGUCUGUAGGGUCUCUCGCAGGCAUUUAAAGGGUCUCAAUAAACAGGACUUUAUAUUAAUAAAAAUAGCAUCAUAAAAAAGGUUUGCAGGCCAUUUUUCUC